GUGCAAUAUAAAAGAGAGGGAAGAAAAAAAAUCAUAAUUUUACUUGUUCUCAAAAUGACAUAGCAGAGCCAUUACCUAUUCACCUUCUAUUUUGCGGGAUUCACUUCAUACCACCGACAUCGUUCUUCUCUUCUUUGGACAAAGACUCGCACCUGAAACCCAUCUUCUCCUCAAGUCUUGCUGUCAUCACAGCGUGUUUCAUCGAAACCAAUAGAUUCAGUUAACACGCAGACCCAUUUACCAAGCAAACAAACCUAUUCUACUUUCUCUCGCUAUCCCUUUCUCUUUCAAUUCACAGCGCCAAUACAUCUCCUAUCAAUAACCUUGAGAGCCGAAUUUCUUUUGGAAUCAAUAUCCAGUCAUAUUUGUCCUCUAAUAGAUUUGGGUAAAAGUUAUUUGCAUUUAUUUAUUUAUUAUUAUUAUUGUUGAUUUGUUGAACAUUUUAAGCUUUGAAGUAUUUAUCUUUUAACUAUUGUGUUUUCUUUGAUAUUUAUCCUGAUUAAUUUUACCUUGGGAAUAUUCAUCACUGUUUCUUGGGAGAAUUCCAUUGUAAAGAUUAAUUUCAUUGCUGAAAUUCCCAAAAUCGAAUCAUAUGGCUAAUAUACUUAAAAUCAACUAAUCUGUGUAUAUUGCAGGUAUGACUUAACUCAUUAACUUGUUUUCUUGAUUGUCUUUAUUUUUCUACAUUAUGGUUUUAGAUUUCUUAUUCUAAAAUUCCAUAUUUCAUGAAUUUAUGGGGUCCAUAACCUUCUUUUUUUCUUUUGCACUUAUGCUUUUUGAAUAAGCUGUGGUAUUCGAUGUGUUAAAAAUGAUUUAUUUUCCCCUAAAAGUCGUUGUACCCAUAAAUUUCAAUGAAGAUGUUUUGGUAUUUGGUUAAUGGGUAUUUCCCACCAGGUCACGAUAUUGAUUUUUAGGAUUUAGUUGAGGAACUCUUGAGGUAGGCCCAUCUUAAUAGAUCCCAUUAUUUGGAUGGUAUUGGUGGUUUGGUGAUCAAAUUUUCAAGUUUCGGUAUUGCUGCUCCAAUUUUGAUUUCUAUUAUUAUUAUUAUUAUUAUUA
rnacentral:misc_RNA from 1 species